AGUGCGGCCGCAAGGUUGAAACUCAAAGGAAUUGACGGGGCCCCGCACAAGCGGUCGAGCAUGUGGUUUAAUUCGACGCAACGCGAAGAACUUUACCCAGGUUGGACAUGCUCGUGGUACGAACCUGAAAGGGUUAGGACUCUGAAAGGAGAGCGAGCUCAGGUGCUGCACGGCUGUCGUCAGCUCGUCCCGUGAGGUGUUGGGUUAAGUCCCGCAACGAGCGUAACCCCUGUCUUCAGUUGCCAUCGGGUCAUGCCGAGCACUCUGGAGAGACUGCCCAGGAUAACGGGGAGGAAGGUGGGGAUGACGUCAAGUCAGCAUGGCCUUUAUGCCUGGGGCUACACACGUGCUACAAUGACCGGUACAAAGGGUUGCAAUCCCGUAAGGGGGAGCCAAUCUCAAAAAACCGGCCUCAGUUCAGAUUGGGGUCUGCAACUCGACCUCAUGAAGGUGGAAUCGCUAGUAAUCGCGGAUCAGCAUGUCGCGGUGAAUACGUUCCCGGGUCUUGCACACACCGCCC
rnacentral:rRNA from 1 species